UACGAAGGUGGCAAGCGUUGUUCGGAUUUACUGGGCGUAAAGUGUGCGCAGGCGGCUGAGCAAGUCGAGUGUGAAAGCCCCGAGCUUAACUUGGGAAUUGCGCUCGAAACUACUUGGCUCGAGUGUGGCAGAGGAAGGUGGAAUUCCACGUGUAGCGGUGAAAUGCGUAGAGAUGUGGAGGAACACCGAUGGCGAAGGCAGCCUUCUGGGCCAACACUGACGCUCAUGCACGAAAGCGUGGGGAGCAAACAGG
rnacentral:rRNA from 1 species